ensembl:lncRNA
CUUGCGCUCAGACCCUUCCUGUGGGACAGGAUCUCCAGGGAAGCCCCACAAACACCCCCAGGGGUUCCCAUUCAAACCUUCAUGGAUUUCACAGCUCAAUCCCUCUGCACUUCCCAGCUCCUCCUGCGGGACCAACAGCUGCAGUGAGGGGGCAAUGAAUGCAUAUCCCACAGGAGAGGGAAACAGUGGAAUAUCCUCAUCCAAGACAUGUCUGGGAAAGGAAAGAUUUCUUGAAGGAUUUUGGAUUUGGAAGAGCAGCACCUGAGCUCCUGGAGGCCCCAGCGGCUGCCAUGGGGAGCGGCACACAUCUGGGGGAGGCGUGCGAAGUUCUCUUCCACCUGACAUCCCUCUGAGCGUUUAAACCCAACGAGUCCCAGGUCAACAGCAAACCUCCCACCGGCUCCGUAGGGUUGGGGCUGUGCCUCAGCCUCUCUGCUAACAAGAAGAGACAAGCUGAAGUGAGCGCUCAGACAGCAACCAUCAGGAUUUCACAGCGUGUUUUGCCAGCAACUUGUUGUUUUUAUUCAGUGAGGUUUUUUUUUUCCCUCCUCUGUGUGCUGUAGCGACUCAGCUCCAUCCCGGGCUGCUCCUGACAUUAACAAGGCAGCAGAUGACAGGCAAAAUGCGUCCACCAGCAAUUCUGAGUCUUCCCGCUAAGUAAUCAUAAAUGCUGCAAGUUUGCAACAAAGCGAGCAGCUGUCUCUCUCCCUCUGGACAAGAACUGCUUCCUCACAAAUUGAGGCUCUGCUGGGUUUUACAGCUGUCGGACAAUGAGUCUGGUGCUGUUAUUUCCUCUUCCUCCCCCCCCCCCCCCCCCCCACCCCCUUUUCCUUUCUUUUAAUGGAAAAUAUCUCAGCUUCGCCAGAACUCGAGUGGGCCCUCCAGCAGUGAAUCGAUUCAGUCAGGUGAUGAGGCUUUAAGGUCUGUUCUGGAGUGGGCACAGAGGGGCUGUGUUCCUGCACAUCCUCCUUCCAAGGCUUUAUUACCUUCGAUCCCACUCUUACGGGGAAGCAGACAUCUGUUUGGGGCUGGCAGAGGGUUUAACGGCGCACAACUGCCAUCCCAGAGAAUGGAGAGGGUUGGGACAGCCCCUGGGGAAGGUAACCUCGAGCUUUGCAGUUUCCUUCCAGACUGCUACAGCAUGGAUGGAGCCCCCAAAGAAACCUUCAUUCCUGUCCUAAAUGCAAGCAAAUGGAGAAUGAAGAUUGCUCUUUGUUACCUCACCGCUUCGAUGGAGUUGAUACCACGCUGGGAUGGCUGCACAGCCUCAGGAGCCUCUUGGAGACCGAUGUUCUGUGAUGCUUUUUGAGUGUCACCCCACAGGCUUCUGGUGCUGGGCAGGCAAAGGCCGUGUGGGUGCAUGGCUGAGGGCACAGGAGAGGAACGCUGCAGCUUCCCUGAGCCGUGGGCAUCGCUGCAGAGAGCUGCUGUAGGGCUCAGCAGCUGAAGGGCAGCACAGCACGGCUUUCCUGCAUCCCGUGGCUGCAGACUUGCUGCUGAGGGGGGCAGCACACCCCACAGCACAGCCAGAGAGCAGUGCAAAGGAAUUCCCUCCCCCACCGGGUGUUCACUGAUCCCACCUGAGCACACAGCUCCUCCUGGGCUGCUCAGUGCUAAGCAAACCCCAUUUGUCAGAUCCCUCUCAGUAUGUUGCUGCAACACUGCUCUCACCUGCAUUGCCCCUCUCCACAGUGUCGCCUUCUUGCCAUGACUGCCAGCUAAGAGGAGGCUUAAUUUUCUGCUGGUAUUCUGCAGCUCCCUCUGCACUCUCUCCCUCUUCCUCAGUGGGUCUGCUUAGCAGUGCAUGUUGGAUGAAAUUCAUACGUUCUGUUUGUGAUUGAGUGUAAUAAACUCUGGCUCCUGUGCCUUCCAGGUGGCUUUUGGGCAUGCAGCAUUUACUGCGUGAAGUGAUUGAUCUCUGAUCUUUAAAAUAGAGCUGUGAAGUCUACGGUGCAUUUGCAUGCAUGUGGAGUAUGAAGGCAGGAAAGAGCAGCUCAGAAACUCUCUAACCCCUGCCCUUUAUUUCCUUGGGUUGAGUUUUCCAUGUUUGACAAUGCGCGCGGUGGUGAUUUAUGUAUAACCAGAGCAGCCCCCAGUGGUCGGAUCUGUGAACUUUUCCAAGCUGCCCUUUUUGCAGCUCGCUCGUGGGUUUUGCAGAACCCCAACCCCUAUUUACCUCCGUGCUCUGAGCUCCGUUUAGGAGGAGAGGGACAGCUGGGAGCUGCGGGUGCGCUGCUUAUUCUGCUGGGAGCCAAUUCUGCCUCUAAUUGAGCUGAAAGCAGCUGCUCUGCCCUCGCCGCCGCAGGCCUGCUGUGCACAGCAGUUUUUGACAAUAGCUGAGAUAUAGGGAUACAGCGCUGCCUGUGCCAGCAUCCCACCCCUGCUGUACAGCAGCACCCC